UUCUGUAGGCUGGCUGUUCACUCUGAUGGUGGUUUCUUUUGCUGGGCAGAAGCUCUUUAGUUUAAUUAGAUCCCAUUUGUCAAUUUUGGCUUUUGUUGCCAUUGCUUUUGGUGUUUUAGACAUGAAGUCCUUGCCCAUGCCUAUGUCCUGAAUGGUAUUGCCUAGGUUUUCUUCUAGGGUUUUUAUGGUUUUAGGUCUAACAUGUAAGUCU
rnacentral:lncRNA from 10 species